AUUGAACGCUGGCGGCAUGCUUUACACAUGCAAGUCGAACGAGUGGCGAACGGGUGAGUAAUAUAUCGGAACGUACCGAGUAAUGGGGGAUAACCAAUCGAAAGAUUGGCUAAUACCGCAUAUUAUUCGAGCGGCCGAGAACUGAUUAGCUAGUUGGUGGGGUAAAGGCCUACCAAGGCGACGAUCAGUAGCGGGGCUGAGAGGACGAGCCGCAACACUGGGACUGAGACACGGCCCAGACUCCUACGGGAGGCAGCAGUGGGGAAUUUUGGACAAUGGGGGAAACCCUGAUCCAGCCAUGCGGCGUGUAUGAAGAAGGCCUGCGGGUUGUAAAGGACUUUUAUAUGGGAAGCGGUACCAGAAGAAAAAGCCCCGGCUAACUACGUGCCAGCAGCCGCGGUAAUAC
rnacentral:rRNA from 1 species